rnacentral:rRNA from 1 species
UAGGGAAUCUUCCGCAAUGGGCGAAAGCCUGACGGAGCAACGCCGCGUGAGUGAUGAAGGUCUUCGGAUCGUAAAACUCUGUUAUUAGGGAAGAACAAAUGUGUAAGUAACUAUGCACGUCUUGACGGUACCUAAUCAGAAAGCCACGGCUAACUACGUGCCAGCAGCCGCGGUAAUACGUAGGUGGCAAGCGUUAUCCGGAAUUCUUGGGCGUAAAGCGCGCGUAGGCGGUUUUUUAAGUCUGAUGUGAAAGCCCACGGCUCAAACGUGGAGGGUCAUUGGAAACUUGAAAACUUGAGUGCAGAAGAGGAAAGUGGAAUUCCAUGUGUAGCGGUGAAAUGCGCAGAGAUAUAGAAGGACACCAGUGGCGAAGGCGAAUUUCUGGUCUGUAACUGACGCUGAUGUGCGAAAGCGUGGGGAUCAAACAGG